rnacentral:rRNA from 1 species
AGUGAACGCUGGCGGUAUACCUAACACAUGCAAGUCGAACGGCAGCACAGUAAGAGCUUGCUCUUACUGUUGGCGAGUGGCGGACGGGUGAGGAAUACAUCGGAAUCUACUUUUUCGUGGGGGAUAACGUAGGGAAACUUACGCUAAUACCUCAUACUACCUACGGGUGAAAGCAGGGGAUCUUCGGACCUUGCGCGAUUGUAUGAGCCGAUGUCGGAUUAGCUAGUUGGCGUGGUAAAGGCCCACCAAGGCGACGAUACGUAGCUGGUCUGAGAGGAUGAUCAGCCACACUGGAACUGAGACACGGUCCAGACUCCUACGGGAGGCAGCAGUGGGGAAUAUUGGACAAUGGGCGCAAGCCUGACCCAGCAAUACCGCGUGGGUGAAGAAGGCCUUCGGGUUGUAAAGCUCUUUUGUUGGGAAAGAAAAGCAGCAGGUUAAUCCCCCGCUGUUCUGACGGUACCCAAAGAAUAAGCAACGGCUAACUUCGUG